AGCUUUGUGCAGUGGCAGUAUCAUAGCCAAUUAGGUUUAUCUGAGCCACGACUAUUGCUAAUUAAAAGCAAAUGUGAAUAUAAUUUUUAAUUUUAUCACUAAGUUUUAAUAAAUGGGAUAACAAUUGUUGAUUGGUUGUGCUAGU
rfam:Heterocephalus glaber contig50585, whole genome shotgun sequence.